UUCUGUUUAUCCUGGAAAGAGAACUCACAAGGUUUCUAAAAGAUUGAAGAAAGGGUGAACUUGGAAGUUCUGUACUUGAUCAAGCUAUUUGAAAUCACUGAACUGUUUAAUUGUUGUUUUUCCUUUUCCAAAUUUGGAAGACACCCUCUGGACACCCUCAAGGAGUUGCAUACAUGGAUAAUUAGGACAAAUGUAUGGCUCUUCAUCUCCUGUUUUUACAACCUUUUUGAAUAUCAUGUGGAAAGAGUGAUUUAUUGCAAUGAGUAUUAGCAGUGUGAGGAUGAUAAGCUUGUAUUUGGACCAGGGACCACCGUCACAGUUGUACCAAGCAGUCCAAAACAUUCUGUCCCACAAGUCGUUGUGAUGAAAUCAAAGAAACUGGAAGAAGGAGGCAGCACUGGGAAAGCAGCUUGUUUGGCAAGGAAUUUCAGUACAAAGAACAUCAGCUUGGAGAUGUCCUCUGAUGAGGUCGUGUAUGAACAGAGCACACCCAUUCUGGCGUCAGAGGGGCUGUACAGUGCUAUGAAGGUGGUCAGUGUGACAAAAGACACAGAGGUGACCUGCAAGGCCCAUUUGGACAUUGGCACCAUUACAGCAUUGUCAGAAAAGGAGGCUGACGAACCCGUAACGAGGACCAGUAACAGGGUUUGCAACAGCACAGACACCUCUGCCCAAGGUACCACAGUGCAGAGAGUGAACAUGCUGUCUGUGGCUGUGCUGGGUUUGAGAGUCCUGCUGGCAAAAAGCAUCGCCUUCAAUACACUCAUGAGUAUCAAGCUGUUUCUUUUCUGA